AUUGAACGCUGGCGGCAGGCUUAACACAUGCAAGUCGAACGAGUGGCGGACGGGUGAGUAAUGUCUGGGAAACUGCCUGAUGGAGGGGGAUAACUACUGGAAACGGUAGCUAGUACCGCAUACCAUCAGAUGUGCCCACAUGGGAUUAGCUAGUUGGUGGGGUAACGGCUCACCAAGGCGACGAUCCCUAGCUGGUCUGAGAGGAUGACCAGCCAAACUGGGACUGAGACACGGUCCAGACUCCUACGGGAGGCAGCAGUGGGGAAUAUUCCACAAUGGGCGCAAGCCUGAUCCAGCCAUCCCGCGUGUAUGAAGAAGGCCUUCGGGUUGUAAAGUACUUUCAGCGGGGAGGCGUUACCCGCAGAAGAAGCACCGGCUAACUACGUGCCAGCAGCCGCGGUAAUUC
rnacentral:rRNA from 1 species